rnacentral:rRNA from 1 species
AGAGUUUGAUCAUGGCUCAAGACGAACGCUGGCGGCGUGCUUAACACAUGCAAGUCGAACGAUGAAGUGGAGCUUGCUCCACGGAUUAGUGGCGAACGGGUGAGGAACACGUGAGAAACCUGCCUCGGAUUUAGGGAUAACAAAUGGAAACGUUUGCUAAUACCAAAUAACGUCGGAGAGUCACAUGGCUUUCUGACGAAAGGAAUUCCGAUUCGAGAGGGUCUCGCGGCCUAUCAGCUAGUUGGCGGGGUAAUGGCCCACCAAGGCAACGACGGGUAGCUGGUCUGAGAGGAUGGUCAGCCACACUGGGACUGAGACACGGCCCAGACUCCUACGGGAGGCAGCAGUGGGGAAUCUUGCGCAAUGGGCGAAAGCCUGACGCAGCAACGCCGCGUGCGGGAAGAAGGCUUUCGGGCUGUAAACCGCUUUCAGCAGGAACGAAAAUGACGGUACCUGCAGAAGAAGGAGCGGCCAACUAUGUGCCAGCAGCCGCGGUGAUACAUAGGCUUCAAGCGUUGUCCGGAUUUAUUGGGCGUAAAGAGUUCGUAGGCGGUCGAGUAAGUCGGGUGUGAAAAUUCUGGGCUCACCCAGAAACGCCACCCGAUACUGCUUAACUUGAGUUCGAUAGGGGAGUGGGGAAUUCCUAGUGUAGCGGUGAAAUGCGCAGAUAUUAGGA